GAUGAACGCUGGCGGCGUGCCUAAUACAUGCAAGUCGAGCGAACGGACGAGAAGCUUGCUUCUCUGAUGUUAGCGGCGGACGGGUGAGUAACACGUGGAUAACCUACCUAUAAGACUGGGAUAACUUCGGGAAACCGGAGCUAAUACCGGAUAAUAUUUUGAACCGCAUGGUUCAAAAGUGAAAGACGGUCUUGCUGUCACUUAUAGAUGGAUCCGCGCUGCAUUAGCUAGUUGGUAAGGUAACGGCUUACCAAGGCAACGAUGCAUAGCCGACCUGAGAGGGUGAUCGGCCACACUGGAACUGAGACACGGUCCAGACUCCUACGGGAGGCAGCAGAAGGGAAUUUUCCGCAAUGGGCGAAAGCCUGACGGAGCAACGCCGCGUGAGUGAUGAAGGUCUUCGGAUCGUAAAACUCUGUUAUUAGGGAAGAACAUAUGUGUAAGUAACUGUGCACAUCUUGACGGUACCUAAUCAGAAAGCCACGGCUAACUACGUG
rnacentral:rRNA from 1 species